UAUACGCUAUGCGUUGGCUCGUGGCGUUGCUAUCUAGCAGCUAUAUUCAGGUUUCUUCCAAUUUUUCGUUCCGUCUCUUCGAAAUGGGUGUGACGGAUAUCCAGAACUGCAGGUUAUUUCUGUUGAAGAAAUGAUAAGAUUGAAACUAACCGACAACCCAAACGAUAAAACAUCACACGUAACUUCACAGUAUGAUAAAGAACCUCGCAAACUGAUAAACGUUCAUGAUCAUUCUGACGCAAGUGGGCGGUCACUGAUACAACAUCUGUGACGUUCGUAUCUUCCGGCAGGCCCAUCGAAGUAUUCUGUGAAUAUGGCGAUGUUCGAAUCAUGCUGUGUUGGAGUGUUUCACUGACCUCUAAAAGUCCAGUGGUAGAAUAUCCGAUGGGAGGACAAAACAUUUCUAAACUGGACUGCCCUGUCGAUGAUGGCAGCAAGGAUCUUUGAAACGUUUGUAAACUUCUACCAGACUACACGGCUCUACAACCCAGAAGACAGCCAUCAACAGCCCAAGAUGUCCAAGUAGUUUCCCAAACUUUUCUAAAAAUAUGAAAUUUAUGUUCUUUCCCAAAAAAAGUAUGAGCUUAUUCAUGCGACUUAACACGUGAAAUUUGUUUGGUGGUCGUUAUAAAACCUGUACUUUACUGA